GGUGAACGCUGGCGGCGUGCCUAAUACAUGCAAGUCGAGCGAACAGACGAGGAGCUUGCUCCUCUGACGUUAGCGGCGGACGGGUGAGUAACACGUGGAUAACCUACCUAUAAGACUGGGAUAACUUCGGGAAACCGGAGCUAAUACCGGAUAAUAUAUUGAACCGCAUGGUUCAAUAGUGAAAGACGGUUUUGCUGUCACUUAUAGAUGGAUCCGCGCCGCAUUAGCUAGUUGGUAAGGUAACGGCUUACCAAGGCAACGAUGCGUAGCCGACCUGAGAGGCUGAUCGGCCACACUGGAACUGAGACACGGUCCAGACUCCUACGGGAGGCAGCAGUAGGGAAUCUUCCGCAAUGGGCGAAAGCCUGACGGAGCAACGCCGCGUGAGUGAUGAAGGUCUUCGGAUCGUAAAACUCUGUUAUUAGGGAAGAACAAAUGUGUAAGUAACUAUGCACGUCUUGACGGUACCUAAUCAGAAAGCCACGGCUAACUACGUG
rnacentral:rRNA from 1 species